GACGAACGCUGGCGGCGUGCUUAACACAUGCAAGUGGAGCGACGAACCAGGCUUCGGCCUGGGGCAGAGCCGCGAACGGGUGAGUAACACGUGGGUAACCUGCCCCGAUGACUGGGACAACCCGAGGAAACUCGGGCUAAUACCGGAUGUGCUGCUCUCGCUCAAGUGAGAGUAGGAAAGGAAGCUUCGGCCUCCGCAUCGGGAUGGGCCCGCGGCCCAUUAGCNGUUGGUGAGGUAACGGCUCACCAAGGCUUCGAUGGGUAGCUGGUCUGAGAGGACGAUCAGCCACACUGGGACUGAGACACGGCCCAGACUCCUACGGGAGGCAGCAGUGGGGAAUAUUGCGCAAUGGGCGAAAGCCUGACGCAGCGACGCCGCGUGU
rnacentral:rRNA from 1 species